GCAAUGCACGGGUGCACGGUGGCGGGGUGGCGUAGGUGGCACAUGCGCGUUGUGAAGGUGGCAGCGUGGCGGCGGCAGUGGUGGUGGAGUAUAGUCAGUCGUGUCCGGGCAUUGUUCGCGUCCGUACAUCUACCCCUUCAGUCCCCUGCCCACGUGCUUACGGUAAACGGUACACGGCACACGCUUGGCAUACUGUAUAGUGCAGUGCAGUGGUAGUGGCAGUGAUUAGCAGUGAUGUGUAGUGAUUUGUAGUGAUACCGGGCACCACCAGUCACCCACGACCGAACGUUCUUUUAUAGUAGUCUUUCUGAUAGGCCUAUACCUCUGUGUGUCUUCAAACUUUUAUACUUUGUGAAGUUUUCGGUGCUAUAGUAGUAGUUAGUGCUAUAUAGUGCCGUAGUGUUGGUUGGUUUGGUGAAGUGUUUUGUUACUCGGAGUACAUUCAAGCCGCCAAAAUUGAGGCGUACAUUCAGCCGGGGGCGCCGGACACGCUCUACGAUCCGGAAGGCUGUGCUUUCCUGACGUACUUUAGUAGGGACAGCGCCGCCUUGGCUCAACACGCGCUACAUGAAAAACGGACAUUACCAGGG